CCUACGGGAGGCAGCAGUGAGGAAUAUUGGUCAAUGGGCGCGAGCCUGAACCAGCCAAGUAGCGUGAAGGAUGACUGCCCUACGGGUUGUAAACUUCUUUUAUAAAGGAAUAAAGUGCGGCACGUGUGCCUUUUUGUAUGUACUUUAUGAAUAAGGCAUAGACAACUCCGUGCCAGCAGCCCCGGUAAUACGGAGGAUCCGAGCGUUAUUCGGAUUUAUUGGGUUUUAAGGGAGCGUAGGUGGGUUGUUUAGUAAGUUGUUAAAUGUUGCGGCUCAAACGUCAGAUUGCCAUUGAAACUGGCAGUCUUGAGUACAGGUGAGGUAGGCGGAAUUCGUGGUGUAGCGGUGAAAUGCUUAGAUAUCACGAAGAACUCCGAUUGCGAAGGCAGCUUACUAGACUGCCACUGACAUUGAGGCACGAAAGUGUGGGUAUCAAACAGGAUUAGAUACCCCAGUAGUC
rnacentral:rRNA from 1 species